rnacentral:rRNA from 1 species
AACGAACGCUGGCGGCAUGCCUAACACAUGCAAGUCGAACGAUGCCUUCGGGCAUAGUGGCGCACGGGUGCGUAACGCGUGGGAAUCUGCCCUUGGCUUCGGAAUAACAGUUAGAAAUGACUGCUAAUACCGGAUGAUGUCCCCCGGAGAGAUCUUGGGGACCAAAGAUUUAUCGGCCAGGGAUGAGCCCGCGUAGGAUUAGGUAGUUGGUGGGGUAAAGGCCUACCAAGCCGACGAUCCUUAGCUGGUCUGAGAGGAUGAUCAGCCACACUGGGACUGAGACACGGCCCAGACUCCUACGGGAGGCAGCAGUGGGGAAUAUUGGACAAUGGGGGGAACCCUGAUCCAGCAAUGCCGCGUGAGUGAUGAAGGCCUUAGGGUUGUAAAGCUCUUUUACCAGGGAUGAUAAUGACAGUACCUGGAGAAUAAGCUCCGGCUAACUCCGUGCCAGCCGCCGCAGUAACAC